rnacentral:rRNA from 1 species
CAGGAUAGGUGGGAGGCGUUGAAAGUUUUCUUGCGGGAAGAUUUGAGCCAUUGGUGAGAUACCACUCUAACAAUGCUAGGAUUCUAACCCUAUGUCGUUAUCCGGCUAGGGGACAGUUUCAGGUGGUCAGUUUGACUGGGGCGGUCGCCUCCUAAAAGGUAACGGAGGCGUGCAAAGGUUCCCUCAGGCUGGUUGGAAAUCAGUCGUAGAGUGUAAAGGCAUAAGGGAGCUUGAUUGUGAGACCUACAAGUCGAACAAAGACGAAAGUCGGCCUUAGUGAUCCGGCGGUACCGAGUGGAAGGGCCGUCGCUCAACGGAUAAAAGUUACUCUAGGGAUAAC